UGUUAUCCACCUCCUGUCUCACAGCAG
rnacentral:piRNA from 1 species